ensembl:processed_transcript F730043M19Rik RIKEN cDNA F730043M19 gene
CGCCGGGCUGGGGAGAGCGCGGAGUCGGGCAGGCUGAGAGCAGAGCCUGAGUGCGCCGCGGGUUCAGCCGGGCAGGGUCGCCUCGCGCCAGGAUGCUGCGCCCCGCCGCCCUGUCCAGCCAGCAACCCUGGCGCGACCCCGGGAAGAAGCACAGGUUCUUUCGUCCAGUCGCCACUGGAGGACCGAAAGUUUUGCUCGCUGCAAGUCCCUUCCUCCCAGAGUCCCAGUCACCCACCGUGCGACGUCCUAGAAGGAUCCCGGAGGCUUAGUGGGAACGAAAUCGGCUGUUUUGCACCCCUCCAUCCUUAGCUCUCAGGAUGCCUUCAGGAGGCAGAAGCAAAGGGGAAAUGGACAUAA